UAAUUUCCGAUUUGGGGUAAGGAAGUCAUCUGGAAUUUGGAAACCACAGAUACCGAGAGCCGCAGGCAUUCUUUUCGGAAACGCGUAGCACUUCUAUAGUUUUCGUGAAAUUUUGAUGCAUCGCGGUUGCUGUGAAUAUCCAAUCAUGGGGAAAGGUAUCGCUAAGAAGAAAAUCGCAGCGGAGGAGGAUGACGAAGAACAGAUAGCAGGAACCGAGCCUGAAGAUGAUUCUCCCGAAGAACACGAAAUCGAGAAGAUCGAGAAAAAACGUAAGGUUAAAAAUGGUUCGAAGCCUGGAGUCUAUUACAAAGUGGUGUGGAAAAACUGGAACGGAGACAAAAGUGACGAACAUGAGUUCAACUGGGUUCACGAAUCCGAUAUGCACUGCGAGGAUCUGAUCAAAGAAUUCAACGAGCGUGGCAUGGAGACUGAGGACGAAGACAUGGACGCGGUGCCUUCAGCUGAAAGUGGAUCUGACGAAAACCAAUGGGAAGUGGAAGCUAUUGUGGAUCGCCGUAAACGAGGGCGUUACUAUGAAUAUAAAAUCAAAUGGAAGGACUGCUCCGAGAGUGAGAAUACGUGGGAGCCGCAAAAGAACCUAAACUGUACGGAACUAUUGGAGCGGUACAAUCGGGAGCAUCCAGUCAAAACACCUAAAGCCAAAGGAAGUGCAUCUACGGCAAAGAAGCGUGUCACUUCCGCUUAUCCUACACGGCGAUCGAGUGGGAACGAUCUGGAAGACAUGCAGACUGCUGACCAGUCAAGUCCGUCCCGUGACCAGGAUGAUCCGGAAGAACAACCUCGAAACAACCGUAAAACCGGCACUCGUCGACGGCGUCCAGGAAAUACGGCAACACCGAGUAAAUCGCGCCCAGCGCGUGGGGUCAGAAAUGAGCCAGACCCAUCUCCUGUAGAAGCACUGGGUGAUUAUCUGGAGGACUGGCCUGGUCGCCCAUCGUCCAGCGGUGUGGCCGGCUCAUCGGGUAAAACGGGCAAACCAGCCAGGUCGACUAAAGAGGUGACAUCCUCGAGGAAGAGCGCUGGAACGCCUGCGAAAAAGCGUGGGAAAAGAGCACUCACGCCAGAAAUUGAAGAGCAAGAAGAAGGUGAUGGAGUGAACCAGAAAGAAUACACUAAAGUGUUGAUGGUUCGCCUGAUGCAUGGUCCUGUCAUUACAAGAUGCAAAGCCAUGAAAUUCAAUCCGGAACACCUAGGCCACCGUAAACUGGAAUACAAUAGUGCAACGAUUGCGGACCCUGAAGAACGCGUGACGGUGAUUGGACGAAUGACAUCGAUUGUGCACAAGCUGAAUUGCUAUAUAUGCGUGCAAGAGGACAGUCCCAAGGACUAUCAAGCUUUCAGCCAAGAAGACAUGCAUCAGUAUUUUCCAAAAACAUUGGAGAAAUUGAAUAAGCUCGAGAAGAGCAGGAAGUUUAAAACGCAUGAUGUGGAUUCGCAGUCAGAAGAGGACGAGGGAGUAAUUGAAAACGGAGUGGAGGUAUAUUAUUCGAAAGAGGAUUGACUGCAUCAGUUCAGUUGCUGACAGUGCCAGAAAAGAGUUUUCGCUCCAUACAAACUGAACGCCUGUUUCUGUGAAAUUAGUACAGAACAGUGGAAGCUGGCUUUACGUUGUGAGUAAUGUGCCAAGUAUCGCUCAUGAUUGGAAUGGCUUUCGGUCGGAGAUCUGGUCGUUGGAUUUGUUUUUGUACAGAAUAAUAGUUUCUUAUUUUGUAAUCCAUUUUGACGGUAUUGCCGGACACAGAGCAGCCGUAUCACAUAUCCAUUUUGAAUUAUAAAAUUUCAAACGGCGUUGGGCGAGUAAUUGGCGACACAUUGCCUCAAUCUCCGAGCUCGGUACAAAGUAUUUUGUACCGUGCUACGAUUUUCUUUUUUUUCUGCCUUAAUGGUUUUGUUUGAUGUCAAAUAAACUGGAGAAACGUUU